UUCGUAAGUAUAAAGACUGGGCUUCCCACCACUUAAACGUGGUUGUCCUUGCUUUGGAACGAAGAAAGUAAGUGCUUCCAUGUUUGGGUGAUGGUAAGUUUUCCUUUAUCCUCACGCCUUU
rnacentral:precursor_RNA from 14 species